GCCCCUGUAGCUCAAAUGGAAAGAGCAGAGCCCUCCUAAGGCUAAGAUGGAGGUUCGAAUCCUCCCAGGGGCA
rnacentral:tRNA from 1 species